ACCAAAAACAGGGAUUUACCAGUGACACACCAUCACAGGACCACUGAGGGCCAGAGAGAGGUAUUGCGGAAGACCGUGCCUGUCUGAUACCAGCCCGGUGACGGCCGCUGUCCACAUGCGUGUAGAGACAAGUGCCGAAUUAACCUCCGGGGCGCAAGGAUGGGAACGAGCUACGCAAGUUCCCGUCAAACGUCACCAUCGGUCCACAUUGAGACCCAGCGCCGACGGAGGAGAAGCUGCCGUGUAAUCCAGUCCUCAGCUAGUGGAAGCAGACUUUCACACACGCUACAGAUGACUGACGCGCCUCUCGACAAAGGCAUCGCUGGAUCUGCUCCGAGCACAACGGGGGACGACAAAUCAAACUUCUCCUCAAAGAUCUUGUGAACAUUUCAACGAACGCCGCUGCAGUAAACCGGGAAGGCGCAUCGCUGUGCCGGGAGCUUCCCCCUCCGUAUCUAUGAAACCACCACCCAAAUUUUGUUUCGGAUCAAUACAUGGAGCGUUACGUUCAUUACUCUUACACUCCAGACCAUAUUACCACAUUUUACUGCUAUUUUCCACACAGAAGCUCCCUCUUCCUAUAUGUGGUUGACACAGGUGUCAAACUUAGUUCCACGUUUGACCUGUAUAGGGAAUUUAAUGAAAUUUGGAAUAUCUUUUUCCAACGUCUGAGACAGUGCUGCACGACGACAUCUGCGAAAUAUUGCAACCUUUUGCUCUUAAAUUGCGUUACGUGUCGUAUUUUCUCCAUUCCGGUCUGAUUCUGUCCCUCUGUUGUUAAUUUAAGACAAUGAAGAAUUAAAAGGCCAUUUAGCUGAUGCUCUGGAGAAAAGCGUCAGCUAAAAGAAGUCACGUACGUGUACAUGUGAAUGUAAAUGUAUGACGAGCACAGGAGGGAUCCCUCUUCUCCAAGGCAAACAGCUCCUUGGUUCACCUUUACGCACAAAUCUGUGUUUUCUGUGCUCGGCCGUUCCGUUUCUCAUUUGCCAUCGGCGUGAUGGUAACUCACACCUACAGCACGCUUCCUGCCGUGACCCGGUCCCGAUUUGUUCCUGAAAAUUUGACCCUGUAUCGAGAAACUGAAUAAUGAAAAUUCCAGCUGGUCCCAGGCGCAUCCCAAGUUCACCUGAAAAUCUCCAUAAAUUUUGCCUAAUGUCAUCAAGAAAAAAGUGUGUAACACAUUAAAAACGAAAAGAAUUUUCA